rnacentral:rRNA from 1 species
UACGGGGGGGCAAGCGUUGUUCGGAAUUACUGGGCGUAAAGGGCUCGUAGGCGGCCAACUAAGUCGGACGUGAAAUCCCCAGGCCUCAACCUGGGAACUGCAUCCGAUACUGGAUGGCUUGAAUCCGGGAGAGGGAUGCAGAAUUCCAGGUGUAGCGGUGAAAUGCGUAGAUAUCUGGAGGAAUACCGGUGGCGAAGGCGGCAUCCUGGACCGGCAUUGACGCUGAGGAGCGAAAGCUAGGGGAGCAAACAGGG